rnacentral:rRNA from 1 species
CCUACGGGAGGCAGCAGUGGGGAAUAUUGGACAAUGGGCGCAAGCCUGAUCCAGCAAUGCCGCGUGAGUGAUGAAGGCCUUAGGGUUGUAAAGCUCUUUUACCCGGGAUGAUAAUGACAGUACCGGGAGAAUAAGCUCCGGCUAACUCCGUGCCAGCAGCCGCGGUAAUACGGAGGGAG